rnacentral:rRNA from 1 species
AAUCUUCCACAAUGGACGGACGUCUGAUGGAGCAACGCCGCGUGAGCGAAGAAGGUUUUCGGAUCGUAAAGCUCUGUUGUACGGGAAGAACACGUACGGAUGUCACUGCCCGUAACUUGACGAUACCUUAUCAGAAAGCCACAGCUAACUACGUGCCAGCAGCCGCGGUAAAACGUAGGUGGCAGUCGUGGUCAGGAAUUAUUGGGCGUAAAGCGCGCGCAGGCGGUCAUUUAAGUCGGAUGUGAAAGCCCACGGAUCAACCGUGGAGGGUCAUUGGAAACUGGAGGACUUGAGUAAAGAAGAGGAAAGCGGAAUUCCACGUGUAGCGGUGAAAUGCGUAGAGAUGUGGAGGAACACCAGUGGCGAAGGCGGCUUUCUGGUCUGUAACUAACGCUGAGGCGCGAAAGCGUGGGGAGCAAACAG